rnacentral:rRNA from 1 species
GAUGAACGCUGGCGGCGUGCCUAAUACAUGCAAGUAGAACGCUGAAGGAGGAGCUUGCUCUUCUGGAUGAGUUGCGAACGGGUGAGUAACGCGUAAGUAACCUGCCUGGUAGCGGGGGAUAACUAUUGGAAACGAUAGCUAAUACCGCAUGACAACAGUUAUUGCAUGAUAACUGUUUAAAAGGUGCAACUGCUCCACUACCACAUGGACCUGCGUUGUAUUAGCUAGUUGGUGAGGUAACGGCUCACCAAGGCGACGAUCCAUAGCCGACCUGAGAGGGGGAUCGGCCACACUGGGACUGAGACACGGCCCAGACGGAUACGGGAGGCAGCAGUAGGGAAUCGUCGGCAAGGGGCGGAAGUCUGACCGAGCAACGCCGCGUGCGUGAAGAAGAUUUUCGGGUCGGAAAGCUCUGUUGUCAGGGAAGAAAGCGUGUGAGAGUGGAAAGUUGACACUGUGACGGUAUCUUACCAGAAAGGGACGGCUAACUACGUG